UAACACCCGCGUCAUCGGGGGCCGCCGGACCUGAGCCCAGCCCCGUACAGACAGUUUUUCUUACGUUGUGUCACUAAUUAUCGUUUGCAAGAGUCGCCACAACGCCCCACGCAUUCACUGUCGAUGGGGAAAGGCUUGCCUACACUGGCGUUAGCGUAGAUGAUAAACCACUACAUGCCGGAGAUGACCCGACCCGCCCCGCCCCGCCCCACCUUCCUGGCCUGCCCGCCCCCUGGCAUAAAUUGUUUCCAGAAACCCCUAAAUGACCGACUCUUCCAUGCCUGAGAUGACCCGCCCUGCCCUGCGUCAUGACCUCCCGGCAUACAUUGAGUGUCCAGAGGAAGGAAAGAAGAGAGAAAGGAAGGAAGUGAGUGGACAGCUUUUGAGUGGUGGCACUGCCCGGCACUUCCUCAAGAAGGCUCUCCUGCCCCUGACUGGCUGGUGUGACAGUGUUGGCAGUCUGCUGCUUCUUGAAGUCCGGUGUCCCAACCUCACUACAACGCUGACUACUGCCUUAAGUGUGGUAGUGGAGGAUAGAGGCCGAGUGGAGGCUACAGCGGACUAUUCCUGCGAGAAGGGGAGGAGGAUAGUCGGGAAUAGUCAGCGGAAGUGUGGUAGUAAUGGUAUCUGGAGUGGCAGUCAACCGCGCUGUGAAUAUGUGACCUGCGACCUACCACAAGGCUUGGAUAAUGGUAGAAUAGUCCGACUCAACCAGACCCUGGAAUACGGUAGCCUGGUCGAAUAUCACUGUCUACCGGAACACAGGCUGGUCGGGGGGAGCUUCCGGAGGUCAUGUGGCGAGCUGGGCGAGUGGUUGGGUGGAGAACCGAAGUGUGUGUUGGGUCCAGAGGAUGCCUACAACACCAUAGGCUCCGAUAGUAGUAGUAGUAGUAGUGUGAGUACUACUUCUACUUCUACCACUAGCAACACCGGGCUCUACAUCGGACUAUUCUUCGGGCUCAUCCUGGCGAUAGUCUUCAUAGGAAUGCUAGUCUACUUCAGAAUCCACCCAAGACCACGCCCGAGCCCAAGCCCCGACCGCCAGCCCGCCCCAAGGCUCCCUCCAUGGCCUCCUGCAGGGCUUGAGGUGGCCAGGCUCCCCACAGUGCUGCCCCUCGCAGUGCCAGGGCAGUGCCACACCUGUAAGCUGCAGCGCCAUGCCCGGUCUGGGGGCGCCGCUGGACUGUUACUGCCGCUAACACAUGCUGGACUACUACUACUACUACUACUACUAUCAGUGAGCUUCUACCAUAUCCACCCAUGCCAUAACACCACCACCACUGCAGCAGAGAUGGAUUUUGAAAGCCCUCAUGUGGAGAAGGAGUUUCCGGGCCUGUACGCCUCCGAGUCCUCCAGACGCAGCAACAGCAAUUACUAAAGAAUUCUGAGCACCGAUUCUGUAGCGGAAAGUGUUGGCGUGUGUCAUUGCUUGCCGGUCUAAUAUGCAUGACGCUCUCGUAAAUUAGGACAGAGGGAGACAGCGGGCAUGAACGGGGGGGCAAGAAGGAGCUGUUGAGAAGCAAAAAGAAGGAGCGGAACGACGAGAAGAAAGACAAGGGUUACGCAGCGCUUGGAGAAGACAGCUCGCCAGACGACACGGAGGGCCAGGACA